UAUUACUGGUAUGUUACUGGUGACUGGGUCUCUGUAUGUGAUGUUAUUACUGGUGACUGGGUCUCUGUAUGUGAUGUUAUUACUGGUAUGUUACUGGUGACUGGGUCUCUGUAUGUGAUGUUAUUACUGGUGACUGGGUCUCUGUAUGUGAAUGUUAUUACUGGUAUGUUACUGGUGACUGGGUCUCUGUAUGUGAUGUUAUUACUGGUGACUGGGUCUCUGUAUGUGAAUGUUAUUACUGGUAUGUUACUGGUGACUGGGGUCUCUGUAUGUGAUGUUAUUACUGGUGACUGGGUCUCUGUAUGUGAUGUUAUUACUGGUAUGUUACUGGUGACUGGGUCUCUGUAUGUGAUGUUAUUACUGGUGACUGGGUCUCUGUAUGUGAAUGUUAUUACUGGUAUGUUACUGGUGACUGGGUCUCUGUAUGUGAUGUUAUUACUGGUGACUGGGUCUCUGUAUGUGAAUGUUAUUACUGGUAUGUUACUGGUGACUGGGUGUACAGUGUGUACUGUCCCCUGAAGGAAGAACUACCCUAGAACACAAUGACCGGUCACAUUCUCCAACUGAACCGACAGUCAUUGGACUCAACAACGAGUCUCUGCCUUUUGGGUUAUACUGUCACAUUCUCCAACUGAACCGACAGUCAUCAGACUCAACAACGAGCCUCUGCCUUUUGGGUUAUACUGUCACAUUCUCCAACUGAACCGACGGUCAUUGGACUCAACAACGAGCCUCCGCCUUUUGGGUUAUACUGUCACAUUCUCCAACUGAACCGACAGUCAUCAGACUCAACAACGAGCCUCUGCCUUUUGGGUUAUACUGUCACAUUCUCCAACUGAACCGACAGUCAUCGGACUCAACAACGAGCCUCCGCCUUUUGGGUUAUACUGUGUGUCUGUACUGUAGUUGGCUAUGGCUAAUACAUCACAUCAAUAAGUGUUUAUGUCCAAGGAUUCUUCAGGAGGUGACAUUCAAGGAGUCGUCUUGGAUAGUUUACAAAUGUCCUCAUUCAAGGUCCACGUGAACAGAUCUCAAAACCUCCACAAAGUUGAAAAUGACAACUUACUUGUAUCUCUUUCAUACUAUGAGACCACUCUGUACGGUGUGUACAGUACCUUGACUCUGUGAACUUAGGAGGCCUCAACACAGCUACGGUAUGUUGUUGUUGUUGGGUGCCUCCAACACCAAUUAGUCUCCAGUAACCUCAGAGGCACACUGAGGACAUAACCAACCAACUGUAACAACUGUCAGUCAUUCAGCAUCCCGAGGAGAAACCAACUGUAACAACUGUCAGUCAUUCAGCAUCCUGUAGAGAAACCAACUGUCAGUCAUUCAGCAUCCUGAGGAGAAACCAACUGUCAGUCAUUCAGCAUCCUGUAGAGAAACCAACUGUAAC
rnacentral:lncRNA from 13 species